GACGAACGCUGGCGGCGUGCUUAACACAUGCAAGUCGAGCGGAAAGGCCACUUCGGUGGUACUCGAGCGGCGAACGGGUGAGUAACACGUGAGUAAUCUGCCCCUGGCUUUGGGAUAGCCACCGGAAACGGUGCUUAAUACCGGAUACGACCACUUCUCGCAUGGGAUGGUGGUGGAAAGUUUUUUCGGCCAGGUAUGUGCUCGCGGCCUAUCAACUUGAUGGUGAGGUAAUGGCUCACCAUGGCUUCGACGGGUAGCCGGCCUGAGAGGGUGACCGGUCACACUGGGACUGAGACACGGCCCAGACUCCUACGGGAGGCAGCAGUGGGGAAUAUUGGACAAUGGGCGGAAGCCUGAUCCAGCAACGCCGCGUGAGGGAUGACGGCCUUCGGGUUGUAAACCUCUUUCAGCAGGGACGAAGCGCAAGUGACGGUACCUGCAGAAGAAGCACCGGCCAACUACGUGCCAGCCGCCGCCGUAA
rnacentral:rRNA from 1 species